GUCUUCCUUCUGCAGCACAUAAAGUAAAACUGAUGUGUAACAAAGAUUGGCAUCACCCCUUUGCAAGGAUGACAUUGAAAUUCAUGAAGCACUCCAUAUUUUU